CCUACGGGAGGCAGCAGUGAGGAAUAUUGGUCAAUGGACGAGAGUCUGAACCAGCCAAGUAGCGUGAAGGAUGACUGCCCUAUGGGUUGUAAACUUCUUUUAUAUGGGAAUAAAAUGUUCCACGUGUGGGAUUUUGUAUGUACCAUAUGAAUAAGGAUCGGCUAACUCCGUGCCAGCAGCCGCGGUAAUACGGAGGAUCCGAGCGUUAUCCGGAUUUAUUGGGUUUAAAGGGAGCGUAGGUGGAUUUUUAAGUCAGUUGUGAAAGUUUGCGGCUCAACCGUAAAAUUGCAGUUGAAACUGGCAGUCUUGAGUACAGUAGAGGUGGGCGGAAUUCGUGGUGUAGCGGUGAAAUGCUUAGAUAUCACGAAGAACUCCGAUUGCGAAAGCAGUUCACUGGACUGCAACUGACACUGAGGCUCGAAAGUGUGGGUAUCAAACAGGAUUAGAUACCCUUGUAGUC
rnacentral:rRNA from 1 species